rnacentral:rRNA from 1 species
GACGAACGUUGGCGGCGUGCUUAAUACAUGCAAGUCAACUGAAGCAGUGGUAGCAAUAUCGCUGUGGAGGUGGCGCACGGGUGAGUAACACGUAGGUAAUCUGCCUUCAGGUCUGGCAUAACUCCGGGAAACCGGGGCUAAUAGCAGAUGAUGCAGCGGCUCGACAUCGAGACAGUUGUUAAAGCUAUGGCGCCUGAAGAUGAGCCUGCGUCUGAUUAGCUAGUUAGCGGGGUAACGGCCCACCAAGGCAACGAUCAGUAGCUGGUCUGAGAGGAUGAUCAGACACACUGGAACUGAGACACGGUCCAGACUCCUACGGGAGGCAGCAGUAAGGAAUAUUGCUCAAUGGGAGAAAUCCUGAAGCAGCAACGCCGCGUGAGGGACGAAGGGCUUUUGCUUGUAAACCUCUGUAGUGAGAGAAAAAAAUCCCAAUCUUUGGGACAUGAUGGUAUCUCAAAAGUAAGCCCCGGCUAACUACGUG